rnacentral:lncRNA from 1 species
UGUUAGUAUCUGAUGCCCCUCCUCAUGGACUGUCACAAAGUGGUGAUUCUUUUCCCGAGGGGUGUCCAGCAGGAUUAGACCCUAUUGAUAUCACAAGGAAAUUGGCUGAAAAGGGAAUUACAUUAUACACUGUUGGUUGUGAACCAGCCAUUCUGUCUUAUAGGGACUUUUUCAUGGCAUUGGCUUACAUGACAGGUGGUCAGUACACGCCUCUUGGUGGUGCGAAGCUUUUGACAAAAAUUAUUAUUGGAGGAGCUCAAGAAGAAAUGUCCCUUCAACAAUGGAUGGCCGAUGUUGACGUAGAGGUUCAAAGUCGUAUAGCAUCCGGACACGAAAUAGACGACGAGGCUAUGACUAGAGACUUGCAUGCAAAACUUGCUUCUAAAGGUGCAAGAUCGAAACAGUUAGUGAGAAACAAUGCUGAACUUGCUGGAAUUUCAUCAAAAGCAAAGGCUAUGUCUUCACAGAUGGACAUGAAAUCUGCUAGAUCGGUCUUCAAAAGUUCAAUGGUUGAAACAGAGCCCGUUAUGGAUGAAGCAAGAUGUUCCGACAUGUACGCAGCUAUUGAAACAGAGACAUCCCACUAUCAGGUUAAUCGAAUGCUACAGAAAUCUAAGGCACGUAACUUUUAUAAAAAGUGAACAUUUACUGAAUUUUAUUUGUAUCUAGUUACAGUUGACGUUUUCUAGAUAAACUAUAUAUAAUAACACAUGUAAACCAUAUUUAAUGUUAUAUAAAAAUUGACAUAUUUUAGUAAGCCUUUCACAUUUUCUAUCCAGAAAUUUUGAAUUGCUCAAAUUAGUUUAUUCUAUAGUUGAAACAAUAUAAUAACAAAACUUUGAGUUGUCAAGCAGUCUCUAUAUCAUAGUUUCAUAUUUCUCUCAUAGUUGUAUAUCAUAAGCUUUAACUCCUAUACUAAGUGUGGAUAUCGACAGUUCAACAGUUUCACGUCAAUCAGCAUUUAUUUUUUUCAAUGUUUUCAGGAGAUUGUUUUUAAGGAGAUUGUUUUCAUUGUUGUUAAUAUUGUUUUUCGUUGUUGCAGGUUGUAGAAUCUUAGAAUUUAGAAAAUUUUCUUGCAUUUUGUACGCAUGUUGUAAUAAAUAUUUGUCAUAUGUCAAACAAAAUAUGAAAAACAUGUAUUUGUCAUUUUACAUGGACCGAACACAUUUUAGAUUGUAAAUGUAUACGUAUAUUGCAAUAUUGUUCUGAUAAAAUUGUCAUUAAAUUGUUUUAAUCGAUUUUGAUAUACAUUUGUAACCGAGGUCAAACUAAAAAAAAAUCUCGGGUUUUGGGAUCUCUUGUCUACCCAUUUUAUUUACAUCUCAUAAUAAUUAUCUUUUCAUUUGCCAUUUUGACACUCAUAGAUGACCCC